rnacentral:rRNA from 1 species
AACGAACGCUGGCGGCAGGCCUAACACAUGCAAGUCGAACGCUCCAGCAAUGGAGAGUGGCAGACGGGUGAGUAACACGUGGGAACCUUCCCUAUGGUUCGGAAUAGCUCAGGGAAACUUGGGGUAAUACCGGAUAAGCCCUUCGGGGGAAAGGAUUUAUCGCCAUUGGAUGGGCCCGCGUCGGAUUAGCUAGUUGGUGAGGUAACGGCUCACCAAGGCAACGAUCCGUAGCUGGUCUGAGAGGAUGAUCAGCCACACUGGGACUGAGACACGGCCCAGACUCCUACGGGAGGCAGCAGUGGGGAAGUAUUGGACAAUGGGCGCAAGCCUGAUCCAGCCAUGCCGCGUGAGUGACGAAGGUCUUCGGAUUGUAAAGCUCUUUCGCGAGGAAAGAAACGGUGCGCGCCAAUACCGCGCACUAAUGACGGUACCUCGAGAAGAAGCACCGGCUAACUACGUGCCAGCCGCCGCUGUAAU